AGACACCCCCUGGGAUGGCUCAAAGGAGUCAGGACUUGGAAGUGGGGACAUCAGGGUAGCUGAAGGAAAUCCACACACCCAGAACAUCUCGGGGUUCAGACUCUCUGACCUGAGAAGUACCUUUCGCCUCCCACCAUGAUUCUGAGGCCUCCCCAGCCAUGUGGAACUGUAAGUCCAAUUAAACCUCUUUUUCUUCCCAGUCUUGGGUAUGUUUUCAUUGGAAGUGUGAAAAUGGACUAAUACAAUAAAUUGGUACCAGUAGAGUGGGGCAUUGCUGAAAAGAUACCUGAAAAUGUGGAAGUAGCUUUGGAACUAGGUAACAGGCAAAGGUUGGAACAAUUUGGAGGGCUCAGAAGAAGGCAGAAAAACGUGGGAAAGUUUGGAACUUCCUAGAGACUUGUUGAAUGACUUUACCCCGAAUGCUGAUAGUGAUACGGACAAUAAGAUCCAGGCUAAGGUGGUCUCAGAUGGUGACAAGGAACUUGUUGGGAAGUGGAGCAAAGAUGAUUCUUGUUAUGUUUUAGCAAAGAGACUGGUGGCAUUUUGCCCCUGCCCUAGAGAUUUGUGGAAUUUUGAACUUGAGAGAGAAGAUUUAGGGUAAUCUGGCUGAAGAAAUUUCUAAGUAGCAAAGCAUUUAAGAGGUGACUUGGGUACUGUUGGCAUUCAGUUUUAUAAGGGAAGCAGGGCAUAAGUUUGGAAAAUUUGCAGCCCGACUAUGCGAUAGAAAAGAAAAACCCAUUUUCUGGGGAGAAAUUCAAGCCAGCUGCAGAAAUUUGCAUAAGUAGCAAGGAGCCUAAUGUUAAUCCCCAAGACCAUGGGGAAAAUGUCUCCAGGCUAUGUCUCCAGACCUUCACAGCAGACCCUUCCAUCACAGGCCCAGAGGCCCAGGAGGAAAAAGUGGUUUUGUGGGCCGGGGCCAGGGACCCUGUGCUGUGUGCAGCCUAGGGUUUUGGUGCCGUAUGUCCCAGCCACUUAGCCGUGGCUGAAAGGGGCCAACGUACAGCUCAGGCUGUGGCUUCAGAGGGUGGAAGCCCCAAGCCUUGGCAGCUUCCAUGUGGUGUUGAGUCUGUGAGUGCAUAGAAGUUAAGAAUUGAGGUUUGGGAACCUCCACCUAGAUUUCAGGAGAUGUAUGGAAAUGCCUGGAUGCCCAGGCAAAAGUUUGCUGCCAGGGCCUUCAUGGAGAACCUCUGCUAGGGCAGUGCAGAAGGGAAAUGUGGGGUCAGAGCCCCCCCCACAGAGUCCCUCCUGGGGCACUGCCUAGUGGAGCUGUGAGAAGAGGACCACUAUCCUCCAGACCCCAGAAUGAUAGAUCCACUGACAGCUUGCACCAUGUGCCUGGAAAAGCCACAGCACUCAAUGCCAGCCUUUGAAAACAGCUGGGAGGGAGGCUGUACCCUGCAAAGCCCCAGGGGUGGAGCUGCCCAAGACCAUGGGAACCCAAUUCUUGCAUCAAUGUGACCUGGAUGUGAGACAAAGGAGAUAAUUUUGGUGCUUUAAAAUUUGACUGUCCCACUGGAUUUUGGACUUGCAUGGGCCUUGUAAUCCCUUUGUUUUGGUCAGUUUCUCCCAUUUGGAACAACUGUAUUUACCCAAUAUCUGUACCCUCAUUGUAUCUAGGAAGUAACUAGUUUGUUUUUGAUUUUUACAAGCUCAUAGGCGAAAGAGACUUCCCUUGUCUCAGAUGAGACUUUGGACUGUGGACUUUUUGGGUUAAUGCUGAAAUGAGUUAAGAUUUUGGGGGACUGUUGGGAAGGCAUGAUUGGUUUUGAAAUAUGAGGACAUGAGAUUUGGAGGGGCCAGGGGUGGAAUGAUAUGGUUUGGCUGUGUCCCCACCCAAAUCUCAACUUGAAUUGUAUCUCCUAGAAUUCCCACAUGUUGUGGGAAGGACCCAGGAGGUGGUAACUGAAUCAUGGGAGCUGGUCUUUCCCGUGCUAUUCUCAUGAUAGUGAACAAGUCUCAUGAGAUCUGAUGAGUUUAUUGAGGUUUCUGCUUUUGCUUCUAUCUCAUUUUCUCCUGCCACCACCAUGUUAAGAAGUGCCUUCCGCCUCCCGCCAUGAUUCUGAGGCCUCCCCAGCCAUAUGGAGCUAUAAGUCCAAUUAAACCUCUUUUUCUCCCCAGUCUCAGGUAUGUUUUUAUGAGCAGUGUGAAAACGGACUAAUACAUGCCUCCUCAGGUCACUGUGAGGAUUUAGUGAAACAUUAUCCUAAAAAAAAUAAGUUAAAAGUCUUGCUUAAAUAUGACAAGCUUAUAAAAAUUAACAGAAGCAUUAUAUUAGAAUUUCUAAAGUCAUUUCCAUUGAAAUCAAGAAUAAGAAAAACAUGCUGCUUUCCCCAAUGUUAGUCAACAUUAUUUAAAAUGUUUAGCUAAUCAAACUGAAAAAAAUAAAACAAUUGGUAUGUAUAUUAUAUAAAAAAGGUAAAAUUGCAUAUUUUUGUAUAUAAUAGAGAAGAGAAAAUCUAAUAUUUUAAUAAAAUACAAUAAAUAAUUUAAUAAAAUAUCUCAAAUCAAGAUAUAUGGUACAUAAAAAUCAUUAGCCUUUCUCAAUAUGAAGAAUAACUAGUCAUGGAUAUAAAUUUAUUUUUUAAAUAACACAUAAAAGCAUUAUAUAUUGCUUAGGAAUAUAUAUAAAACCAUUAUCUAUUAUUUAGAAAUGCAAAAAUACAUUUAAGAAAUGUUUAAAUGUCUGGGAAUUAUACACACUGGCUUCUAGACACUAGUCAUAUAUCUAGAAAGGGGGAAGAUGAAAGAAUGUCAUCAUAUUCUAUAAAUAUGUCAAAAUGUUAAAAUCUAGUAAGUAUGAGAAGAGGGUACAUGUUGCCUGUAAUAUUUUUUUUAUAUUUCUCUGUAUAUUUGAAAUAUUUAAUAAUACAAUUUUAAAUUUGAAAUAUCUUCUCUAAAGUCAUGAUAAGGAUGGGCGGGGUGGCUCACGCCUGCAAUCCCAGCACUUUGGGAGGCCGAGGUGGGUGGAUCACCUUAGGUCAGAAGUUCGAGACCAGCUUGACCAAUAUGGUAAAACCUGUCUCUACUGAAACUACAAAAAUUAGCCAGGUGUGGUGGCAUGCACCUAUAGUCCCAACUACUUGGGAGGCUGAGGCAGGAGAAUUGCUUGAACUCGAGAGGCAGAGGUUGCAGUGAGUCGAGAUUGUACCACUGCACUGCAGCCUGGGAGACAGAGCAAGACUCCAUCUCAAAAAAAAAAAAAAUUGGCUGGGCGCGGUGGCUCACGCCUGUAAUCCCAGCACUUUGGGAGGCCUAGGCAGGUGGAUCACAAGGUCAGGAGAUCGAGACCAUCCUGGCUAACAUGGUGAAACUCCGUAUCUAAUAAAAAUACAAAAAAAUUAGCCAGGCAUGGUGGCGGGCGCCUGUAGUCCUAGCUACUCGGGAGGCUGAGGCAGGAGAAUGGCCAUGAACCCGGGAGGUGCAGCUUGCAGUGAGCUGAGAUCAUGCCACUACACUCCAGCCUGGGUGAC
rnacentral:lncRNA from 1 species